UGGUGCUGUGUGAUGCCAGGGUGCUGUGUGAUGGCCAGGGUGCUGUUGGAUGACCAGGGUGCUGUGUGAUGGCCAGGGUGCUGUGUGAUGAUGGCUAGGGUGCUGUGUGAUGGCCAGGGUGCUGUGUGAUGGCCAGGGUGCUGUGUGAUGGUCAGGGUGCUGUGUGUAGCCAGGGUGCUGUGUGUGGAUGGCCAGGGUGCUGUGUGAUGGCCAGGGUGCUGUGUGAUGAUGGCCAGGGGGCUGUUGGAUGACCAGGGUGCUGUGUGAUGGUCAGGGUGCUGUGUGAUGAUGGCCAGGGUGCUGUGUGAUGGCCAGGGUGCUGUGUGAUGGCCAGGGUGCUGUGUGAUGGCCAGGGUGCUGUGUGAUGGCCAGGGUGCUGUGUGAUGGUCAGGGUGCUGUGUGAUGAUGGCCAGGGUGCUGUGGUGCUGUGUGAUGGCCAGGGUGCUGUGUGAUGGCCAGGGUGCUGUUGGAUGAGAUGCAUAGUGGGAGUAGAAGACACCAGGUGCAGUGAUGGCAUUGAUGGGGGCAUUAAGAGGUGCAGUGAUGGCAUUAAGAGGUGCAGUGAUGGUAUUAAGAGGUGCAGUGAUGGCGUUGAGGGGGCAUUAAUCAUUGGGUCUCUCGGCUGUAGACAGCACUGCUGCCUGCCCACCUGUGCUUCAGCUUCACAUCACGUUAAUUCAGACCC
ensembl:lncRNA